UUUUUAAUUGGGAUCUUGUAUGAAUGAUUGGACAAGAGAAAUACUGUCUUUGUAUUAAAACUUGAAUUUAACUUUUAAGUGAAAAGGCUUAAAUACACUAAAGGGACGAUAAGACCCUAUAAAACUUUACAUUUAUGUUAAAUUUUAUGGAAUUUGAAGAUUAUAAUUAUUAGAUUUAAUUUUUUUGUUAUGUUGGGGAGACAAAAGCUAUAAUUAUAUAUAAUAACUGCUUUUAAGGGAAACAAAAAUAAGUGGAAAGAUUAGAGAUCCUUUAUUAAGAUUAUAAGAUUAAGUUACUUUAGGGAUAACAGCGUUAUUUUUUUUGAGAGUUCAUAUUGAAAAAAAAGAUUGCGACCUCGAUGUUGAAUUAAAAUAUCUUUAUAAUGCAGGUGUUAUAAAAGAAGGUCUGUUCGACCUUUAAUUUU
rnacentral:rRNA from 1 species